rnacentral:tRNA from 1 species
AGGGGUAUAGCUCAGCCGGUAGAGCGGCGGUCUCCAAAACCGUAGGUCGAGGGUUCGAUCCCUUCUGCCCCUGCCA